AGGAAACACAAAGAAGAAAAUAACAAAUCAUACUAAUUACACUUCCAGAGAUAUAUAUUGUUACUAUUUUGGUUACAUCUUUUAAGAUUUUUUUCUGUGCGUAUUUGUGGAUAUAUACAAACAUACACAUUUCACUACAUAAAUUGGUUUGUAUUGUACAUACUGUUCUGUGAAUUGCUUUUUGUAGUUAGUUGCGAACAGUUUUCCUUGUCAAUAAAUAAACUUCUUGUGAGUCUCUCAUAUUUCACUGUGUACCUACCAUGGUUUAACUAAUCUCUUGUUAUUGCCCGUUUAGGUUACUAACAGUUGUGGCCUAUGUAUAAUACUAACUCUGUGCACCUCCUUAUUUAUUCUUAUUUUUUUAAAAGAUUUUAGGGGCUGGCCCGGUGGUUCAGUGGUUAAGUGCACACAUUCUGCUUCUUGGCGGCCCGUGGUUCACCGGUUCGGACGUGGCAGCAUGGCUUGAUAAGCAGUGUGUACAUCCAUGCCCGGGAUCCGAACCAGUGAACCCCAGGCUGCUGAAGCGGAGUGCACAAACUUAACUGCUAUGCCACCCGGCCAGCCCCUCAAGGAUGUUGGUACAAAUUGCCCAAUUGUCUUCCAGAAAAGAUGUAUCAACUUAGACUCUCACCACCAGUCCUGUGAGAGUAUCUCUUUCACUACAUCCUUCCCAACACAAGGAUGAGCUUUGAAGUCAUUGUGCCAAGUCCUGCUUGUUCCUUUGGACUACACAGUGGGAGCUGGAAACAUGGGUGACCCCCGUAGGGGCUUUUGUAUUCAUAAGCACCAGGCUUACGAACGAAUACAAACACAGCAAGUCCCAGGAGCUGGUUUUGGUGGGGCUGGACUUCUCCAUGCAGAAUCACAUGGCCUCUUUAGGAAGAAGCCCCUCGCCGCCAUUGACCUCCACUUGGGGCAUCCUCCUGUCUCCAGUCCAAAGACAAUCCUGUGGACCUCAGAGCUCUUGUGUCUCUGCUGCUGCAGCACCCAUCCAUAUGUGCCCCACUGUGGCCGAGCCAGCCUGUACUGGGGUGUUCCUGUCCAUCUUGCAGGGGACCCUGCCUCCAGCCAGUGUCCUCUCCAAGCCUGUCUCCUCUAAGGAUUUCCUGUGGGUUAGCUCUGGGGAUCUUUUCUUAAUCUAUUCCUACGUGUGUUAUUACAGAAAGAAUUAUUCAUAAUUGCCAGCAUUGUGAUGGCUUCUUCCUAGUUUCUUUUGAGCCUGCAUGUUUUUCCCUACUUGACAUUUUCUAGGUUCUCUCCUACUUAAGUGACUUCUUCAGGAUCUUUUCUAUUGAGGAGUAAUGAACGAACAGUAAAGUCACAAAUCCUAAGCAUACAUUGCAGUGAAUUUUUACAUAUGUGUACACUAUGUAACCACCCCCCCAAUCAAGGUGUUUCUUUUAGAGUUGAGAAGUUCUUGGUGGGAGGUUGAGUGGAGAAGGAAAUCAUGAGUGUGUCCCCGAGCUACCGUCUUUUUCUAGAACUCUCUUUAAAGGGUGUUAAGGAGGGAGCUGAACGUCAAGUCUAUACAGUGGUGUGGAGAGCAGAAUGCUUAGGCGUGGCAGGUCAUGUUCUGGUCCUCCCCCUUACUAGCCGUGGGACUUCUGUGCCUCAGUUUCAACCACUGUAAAAUGGGAGUAGAUGAUAGCUCUUACCUCACAAGGUUAUCAUGAAGAUUACACGAGGCAGUACAUGUAAGUGCACAAAAAAUGUUAAUUGUUAUUUUUGUUGUUAUUAAUAAUGAGGAGGAGGCACUGGUUCUUAAUGAAGGAUAUGUAUCAGAAUCACCUGGGGCACUUUCGCAAAAUACACAUGCUCAACCUGGCCAGAUCUACUGAGUCAGAAUCUAGAUUUUAAAUGCCUCCCCAGGUUCAUUCUGUUGCUCAUCCGUGGUUGAGAACCACUGGGCUGGAGGUGGUCAUGACUGGAAGCAGGAAGGCCAACAGGUCUCAAAAUUUUCCGCAUCCUCUGAUGGAGGAGCUUAAUCCUUAUUCAUCAGUAUCUUCAGACAGCACAUCUGGUUGGGGCAAUGUCUUAUCUUCCAACACCCCCUGAUCCCCCAUGCUCUCACACAUACUCAGCCUCUGGUGGAUGGCUUCUUAGACUCUGGCUUUCUUCAGGCCCUUGAUAUCAACGAGUUGCUCUUUGGCAAGAAUUUAAGCCCUUCGAGUACCUCUCCCAGAGGCGUUUGCAUUUAGAACUAUAGGUGUAAUAGAAAUAAUGGAAGAUGUUGCAUUCCUGAGGGAAGGCGAUCCUGGAAUGAAAUAUUCAUUCUCUCAUUCUAGAACAUCCCUGUCUAGUAGACCUUUCUGCGUUGAUGGAAAUGUUCUUCUGUGCUAUACAAUACGAUAGUCACUAGCCACAUGUGGCUAUUGAGUGUUUGAAAUGUGGCUAGUGUAACCGAGGAAUUGGAUUUUUCAUUUUAAUUAAUUAAAAGUUAAAUUUAAGUUGACAGAAGAAAAGCACGCACUGUUAGUUUGCAUUCACUGGAUCAAUGAACGAUAGGGACGCCAGGCCUGACACUCUACUAUCAAGCAGCCCCCAAAGGUCACUUUGAAAUCAAAUGGGCUUUCUGUCUCUCGCCCCUCCAAGAAGCAGGUAUCUACAGCUGCCCCCACAGGCCUCUCUGAGCCCCUGCGCUCCCCACUCCUUACCUAGGACAUUGCCCAUGCCUUUCCUUUUGCCCUGCUGCCCCCUCUCCCUAUUCCUGCUCAUGCCAUAGCAUCCUCACUUCCCCCGCAAAAGGCUUCCCUGACUCCUGUCCCUUCCAGGUGAAGCCAGGUUUAGGGCCCUGAAUAGAUUCCAUUUGGCUUCCCCGUUGCAGGUGGAGGUGGCAGGGAUGGAUCUCAGGAAUAUGUAGCUGCAGGACGGAUGUGCAUUGGAUCACUGUGUUUCAAACUUCCUUCAAUAUAUCUCAUGUCCCAACCACCACACACACCUCCAUACAGAUAGAUACAACCAAAGCAAAAGCUUUAGAAAAAUAACACUCUCACUACAUGUGAUGCACUUGGAUAUUUUCUGUUCUAUUUAUUUUUUUAAAAAAAAUGUUGGUUGUGACCCACUAAACUGAUUUCACAACCCAGUAACAGGUCACAACCCACAGGGUAAAAAAAUACAGAGUGAGGUCAUUGCUGCUCAGGAAAACUCCAAACACAGGCCAAGUGGCCCUGUCCAGACAGUUCCUCUGGGUUCCUGAAGAGCUGGCAGCCAAUGGCACUGGCAGCUCUGUGCUCUUGGUGGUGGUUGACGUGGUGGGGCUCUGCUCUCUCCGUGGAGUCUCCUUUCAGGGCCCCAGUUGCUCAUGCCAUAAAGUGGUCAUGGUCACAGAUGCUGCCUCAGUGCUGUGGAAGGAGGUUCCAGCCUAUAAAGCACUCCAGACAGUAGAGAGAAAGACACUAGCUCACCGUCAGGCGUCAUAAGACUGUACACCUCAUCCCUCUUGAUGAGGCUCCUCAUGGAGGCAAAGCUCCCGGGCCUAGUGGGGCUACAAACAGCAGAUAGAGUAAGAGCAAAACAUGGGGCUCCUGCAUGCAGCGUCAUAAGAAUAGAAACGUCUUACCAGCCAGAGGAUGGGUCAUAAAUGUAUGUAAGGAGUGUUCCAGGUGGGAGUCUGGGAGCCCCGUCUUCCUUUGGACUUUAGCCCUGAACCAGAAGUUAUUGAAAACAGGACCCACAGAAAUAGCUACAUCAGAAUCCCUGCCUCUAAACCGGGUGUUUAUUCCUCUCAUGGCCUCACACUCUGUCAACUCUUACUUAGCAAACUGUUCUAACAAGAGUGGCUGUCUGAUUUCCCAACUCCUACAGAAGAAAAGAAAUGGCCCGGAGAGGUGGGAGGCGGUUUUUAGAGCCAGAUGUGUAGAUAACAGAAAAGUAAAGACCAUGGGAAGGACAGAAACAAUAAGAAGGACACACAGUCACUUUACUCUCUAGUUCCAUAGGGGAUGCUCCUAAAGAUGACUACUUCAGUGGGAAAAGGAUAUUUUUUUAAGGUGUUAGGGAACUGCGGUCACAUUUUAGCAAGAUUUCCCUUUAAAGUGGUUAAAAUAGUGUUUUAGCAAUUGAAAUUUCACUUUUCAGAAAAAGUAAUCCAUGGGAACCUCAGUGAUUUUGGAUAAAUUAGGUGCUGUUGAGCCAGUCCUGACUAAGGCCAUCCAUCGUCCCCAUGGGUUUGAGGCACGCUGUGAUCUCAGGGUCCUACCCACCCAGCCCUAGUCUGCCUCACAGCCCCAAACCCCUUGUUACUCUUGCAUUCCUUUUUCACCAGUGUGAAUUCCCGAAUAAUCCUUUCCAGUCUGAAAGCUUGCUGAUAGUGGCUCCCUGAUGCCCCGAAGAUAGGUGUAGAGAGAGGACUCUGAGCUGGGCACUCCCUGGAGAUGGCAGGCCUGGGUGGGGUGGCCUAAAUGACCAGAGGGCAGGACAAAGCCCCUGGGAUUUGGGCUGGGGUGAGUUUUUAGAGAGCAGUGGUGGGUGGGCUUGUAAGACAAAUUCUGCCCUGUUCCCUGCUUUGCCUGAGGACAGCCUACUCAAGCAGCAGGGCCAGGUCUGUUUCUCCAGUAGGCUGUUCUCUCCUGGCCUCUUGGCCACCUGGUCCCCAGAUCUGCUUCUGUGAGUCACCCUGGGUGACUGCAGGGGUGUUCCAAUCAGUGAGGGAACCUCAAAGAAAAGCCGGAUAUUUCUGAGACAAAGGUGAUUUAUUCCACACCAUCUGAGAAGGUGAAUGUUAAGUAGAAGGCUGCGGGGUUGGAGAAGUGUCACACCACCAGGAGGUUUCUGUCUUCACAAUAGGGUAUUACAUAGUAUGCCUGCAUAAUGCAUUGCACCUCCUGUUGUUGGUAUUUGCAAAUACUGUUUGAUUACAAAAUGAUGAAACUGUUUCUCCUAAUUGGGGAGAAUAACAAUAAUAAACUAAAACAACAAUAUCAAAAGUCUUUGAGGGGCUGGCCCUGUGGCCAAGUGGUUAAGUUCUCAUGCUCUGCUUUGGUGGCCCAGGGUUCGCAGGUUCGAAUCCCGGGUGCAGACCUAGCAAUGUUCAUCAAGGCAGACUGAGGUGGCCUCCCACAUAGCAGAACUAGAAGGACCUACAACUAGAAUACACAACUAUGUACUGGGGGGCUUUGGGGAGAAGAAGGAAAAAAAAGAAGUCUGAAAAGAUUUCAGAGGUUUGCAAAGCCAUUCACUGAUGUGUCCCUAAGGCCAGAAAUGGAGUAGGGCUUGGUCAAGUGGUGGUUCUAAGAAGCUGCCUAAUGAAAUUCUUUUUUUCAAUAGGAAUAUAAUAAUGUGUGGGGUAGAGAAAAACCACUCAAGCUUUUAAGCAUUCUAACUAGUGGAAAUUAGAUUCUGAUGAUGAAAUCACAAAAUGAUUUGAACAGAGAGAAGGGGAGUCAACAGCAAAAGAAGACAGAUGAGCUUAGAUUUUCAAUGAACCUACUGGAUUUUCACAUGUACAUGAUGCCUGGUGUGUCAGAACGUCCAGAAGGACCAAAGUCCAGAAUUAGCAGUGAUUAUAAAGGAAGCCCGGCCAGCACAAAGGUUGCUCAUCUGCUUCCUUAUUGAAGUCUAUUUCUAGCAGAAGGAUGAACAACGCAAGGGCAGGCCCUCUGCAGGGGGAGGCAUGGAGUGGUAACGUCAGAGAGACAGAGGGAGUGCCCAGUUCCGGUUUGUUUCCAACUCUGCCUCCCCUGAGAAUAGUCCUCAAAGUGGGAGAAGAAGUUACAAAGAUCAUAUGGAGUGAAAUAAAGCUCCCAACAGGAGAGGAGAUGUUAGUGGAACCCCCUCAACCCCUUUCAGGGGCAAAGUCCACCUGUCACAUUCCCCAAAGGUGGUCAUCCAGGUUGACUCGCGUCCCUGAAUCAGCCCUCUGGGGAGGUGGGCUAACCAGAGACACAUCCAUUUAUUAGUCCUAGAUUUAAACACAGAGGAGGAAACUGAAACCUG
rnacentral:lncRNA from 1 species